UUAAUGCUGCCCCUGUGGAUGACUACUACUUCUAACUGCAAGCUGCUGACUUCUGUGCAAUGAAGAACAAGUGCUAAGCUUUAGAAGCAGAAGUACACCUCACUUCUCUCUUUAGCUGUAUGAAGGCUGAAGGGCUGAUGUGGAAUGGAGAGCCUGUCUGUGCAUUUGUAUCUACAGAGCAGUGAAUGCUGAGCUGUUCCACACACACGUGCAGCCGCCCCCUCUUCAUAUCUGAUGUCUCACCGGCAGCUAUGACUGACUGAGGGGAGCUGCUCCAUUUCCAAGGCUCUGGUAAUUGCAGAGAGUCUCUCCCUCAGCCUCCACUUGGUUUGCUGGUGGAUGAGGCUGAGGGAAAAGGCACGGGGCUGCCAUGGGAUGGGUCACCACCAGACAGCUCGCACCCAGCAGCCUUCUCUGAGAGCCCAGCUCCCUUCCAGCAGUAAAAGAUGACAAACUUAAUUACAAUAAGGUGACAUUUUUAUUAUUUAUACAAUAAAGAGACUUUUUAAUGUUAUUCAAAA